GGAGUUAGCCGGUGCUUCUUCUGUGAGUGAUGUCCUUCCUGCCGGCUAUUAACCCGCAGGCCUUCUUCCUCACUGAAAGUGCUUUACAACCCGAAGGCCUUCUUCACACACGCGGCAUGGCUGGAUCAGGGUUGCCCCCAUUGUCCAAUAUUCCCCACUGCUGCCUCCCGUAGGAGUCUGGGCCGUGUCUCAGUCCCAGUGUGGCUGAUCAUCCUCUCAGACCAGCUACGGAUCGUCGCCUUGGUGAGCCGUUACCUCACCAACCAGCUAAUCCGACAUAGGCUCAUCCGAUAGCGCGAGGCCCGAAGGUCCCCCGCUUUCCCCCGUAGGGCGUAUGCGGUAUUAGCCUGGGUUUCCCCAGGUUAUCCCCCACUACCGGGCAGAUUCCUAUGCAUUACUCACCCGUCCGCCGCUCGCCACCAGGGAGCAAGCUCCCCGUGCUGCCGCUCGACUUGCAUGUGUUAGGCCUGCCGCCAGCGUUCAAUCUGAGCCAGAAUCGAAACCUCACGACGUAGACGGCGGUCGUCGACGACGGCG
rnacentral:rRNA from 1 species